rnacentral:pre_miRNA from 1 species
UUGUGUUAAAUCAAUGUGUGAGUCCUAUAUUUUAGAAAAUAAAACUCAUAUAAAGUGGUGGAAUAUACAUUGAUUUCAUUCAA